ACGUCCUGACGGGAGGCAGCAGUGAGGAAUUGAUUGGUCAAAUGGGAGGGAAACUCUGAACCAGCCAUCCCGCGUGUAGGAAGACGGCCUUAUGGGUUGUAAACUACUUUUAUACAGGAAGAAACGUACCCUCGUGAGGGUGCCUGACGGUACUGUAGGAAUAAGCACCGGCUAACUCCGUGCCAGCAGCCGCGGUAAUACGGAGGGUGCGAGCGUUAUCCGGAUUUAUUGGGUUUAAAGGGUCCGUAGGCGGGUUAAUAAGUCAGUGGUGAAAUCCCAUCGCUUAACGAUGGAACUGCCAUUGAUACUGUUAGUCUUGAAUGAGGGUGCAGUGGUUGGAAUGUGUAGUGUAGCGGUGAAAUGCAUAGAUAUUACACAGAACACCGAUUGCGAAGGCAGAUCACUAACCCUAAAUUGACGCUGAGGGACGAAAGCGUGGGGAGCGAACAGGAUUAGAUACCCUCGUAGGCUC
rnacentral:rRNA from 1 species